rnacentral:rRNA from 1 species
UACGAAGGGGGCUAGCGUUGCUCGGAAUCACUGGGCGUAAAGCGCACGUAGGCGGAUUGCUAAGUCAGGGGUGAAAUCCUGGAGCUCAACUCCAGAACUGCCUUUGAUACUGGCGACCUUGAGUCCGGGAGAGGUGAGUGGAACUGCGAGUGUAGAGGUGAAAUUCGUAGAUAUUCGCAAGAACACCAGUGGCGAAGGCGGCUCACUGGCCCGUUACUGACGCUGAGGCACGAAAGCGUGGGGAGCAAACAGG